CUCAGGUCAGGCGGGGCCACCCGCUGAGUUUAAGCAUAUCAAUAAGCGGAGGAGAAGAAACUUACGAGGAUUCCCCUAGUAACGGCGAGCGAAACGGGAAGAGCCCAGCUUGAGAAUCGGGCAGCCCCGCUGUUUGAAUUGUAGUCUGUAGAAGCGCCGUCAGUGGCGGACCGGGCCCAAGUCCCCUGGAACGGGGCGCCGGAGAGGGUGAGCGCCCCGUCGUGCCCGGACCCUGCCGCAUCACGA
rnacentral:rRNA from 1 species